rnacentral:rRNA from 1 species
UACGGAGGGUGCAAGCGUUAAUCGGAUUUACUGGGCGUAAAGCGUGCGCAGGCGGUUUGUUAAGUCUGCUGUGAAAUCCCCGAGCUCAACUUGGGAAUUGCAGUGGAUACUGGCAAGCUAGAGUAUGGUAGAGGAAGGUGGAAUUCCCGGUGUAGCAGUGAAAUGCGUAGAGAUCGGGAGGAACACCAGUGGCGAAGGCGGCCUUCUGGACCAAUACUGACGCUCAUGCACGAAAGCGUGGGGAGCAAACAGG